AUUGAACGCUGGCGGCAGGCUUAACACAUGCAAGUCGAGCGGAGAUGAGGUGCUUGCACCUUAUCUUAGCGGCGGACGGGUGAGUAAUGCUUAGGAAUCUGCCUAUUAGUGGGGGACAACAUUCCGAAAGGAAUGCUAAUACCGCAUACGCCCUACGGGGGAAAGCAGGGGAUCUUCGGACCUUGCGCUAAUAGAUGAGCCUAAGUCGGAUUAGCUAGUUGGUGGGGUAAAGGCCUACCAAGGCGACGAUCUGUAGCGGGUCUGAGAGGAUGAUCCGCCACACUGGGACUGAGACACGGCCCAGACUCCUACGGGAGGCAGCAGUGGGGAAUAUUGGACAAUGGGCGGAAGCCUGAUCCAGCCAUGCCGCGUGUGUGAAGAAGGCCUUUUGGUUGUAAAGCACUUUAAGCGAGGAGGAGGCUACCUGGAUUAAUACCCUAGGAUAGUGGACGUUACUCGCAGAAUAAGCACCGGCUAACUCUGUGCCAGUCGCCGCCGUAAUAC
rnacentral:rRNA from 1 species